GACGAGUGGUCCUAGCGUUAGUCGGAAUCACUGGGCUUAAAGGGUGCGUAGGCGGGCCAGUAAGUGUCUUGUGAAAGCCCCCGGCUCAACCGGGGAACUGCAGGGCAUACUGCUGGUCUUGAGGAAGCUAGAGGCUGGUGGAACGAUAGGUGGAGCGGUGGAAUGCGUAGAGAUCUAUCGGAACGCCGAUGGUGAAGACAGCCAGCUGGGGCUUUCCUGACGCUGAGGCACGAAAGCGUGGGGAGCAAACAGG
rnacentral:rRNA from 1 species